AUUUUGGUAAAACAACUUUUUUCUGAGCAGUACCUCCUUUAUUGGUUGAAACUCAAAUAAUAUGGCGGUGGUAAUAACAUUCAGGGGAACUUACCUAUUAAUUGAUAAUCACCAAGAGAAUCUACCUAAGCUUACAGAAAGUAUACCGCCGUCUUCAAAGAACUUUAUUUUCUAAUGUUCAACAAGUAUUUACAUCCCACUAUAAGUCAGGCCAUGGCGCUUCCAACUGUUUAGGGUUAAGGCGAGUUACAAUAUAAACUACCAUUCAGAUAUAGCUUUUGCAAGCUACUUAAAGGAGGACUUGAAAGUAAUUUUACAAUCUUAUCUUAAUCAAAUAAAUAUUGAAUAAAUUAUAUUACCGUGC
rnacentral:rRNA from 1 species